AGAGUUUGAUCCUGGCUCAGGACGAACGCUGGCGGCGUGCUUAACACAUGCAAGUCACGGGGGCCCGCAAGGGCAACCGGCGAACGGGUGCGUAACACGUGAGCAACCUGCCUUUGUGUGGGGGAUAGCCGGGCUAACGCCCGGGUAAUACCGCAUACGGUUCUCGAGGGGAGUCCCUUGGGAAAGAAACCUCCGGGGCACAGAGAGGGGCUCGCGGCCUAUCAGCUAGUUGGCGGGGUAAUGGCCCACCAAGGCGACGACGGGUAGCUGGUCUGAGAGGAUGGCCAGCCACAUUGGGACUGAGAGACGGCCCAGACUCCUACGGGAGGCAGCAGUGGGGAAUCUUGCGCAAUGGCCGAAAGGCUGACGCAGCGACGCCGCGUGUGGGAGGACGCCUUUCGGGGUGUAAACCACUGUUGCCCGGGACGAACAUCCCUUUUCGAGGGGACUGACGGUACCGGGUGAGGAAGCACCGGCUAACUCCGUGCCAGCAGCCGCGGUAAUACGGAGGGUGCGAGCGUUGUCCGGAAUCAUUGGGCGUAAAGGGCGCGUAGGUGGCGGGAUAAGCGUGCGGUGAAAGCUCGGGGCUCAACCCCGAGUCGGCCGUGCGAACUAUUCUGCUUGAGCACUGUAGAGGCAGGCGGAAUUCCGGGUGUAGCGGUGGAAUGCGUAGAGAUCCGGAAGAACACCGGUGGCGAAGGCGGCCUGCUGGGCAGUAGCUGACACUGAGGCGCGACAGCGUGGGGAGCAAACAGGAUUAGAUACCCUGGUAGUCCACGCCGUAAACGAUGGGCACUAGGCGCUUGGGGGAGCGACCCCCCGAGGGCCGGCGCUAACGCAUUAAGUGCCCCGCCUGGGGAGUACGGCCGCAAGGCUGAAACUCAAAGGAAUUGACGG
rnacentral:rRNA from 1 species